rnacentral:rRNA from 1 species
GAUGAACGCUGGCGGCGUGCCUAAUACAUGCAAGUCGAGCGAACGGACGAGAAGCUUGCUUCUCUGAUGUUAGCGGCGGACGGGUGAGUAACACGUGGAUAACCUACCUAUAAGACUGGGAUAAAUUCGGGAAACCGGAGCUAAUACCGGAUAAUAUUUUGAACCGCAUGGUUCAAAAGUGAAAGACGGUCUUGCUGUCACUUAUAGAUGGAUCCGCGCUGCAUUAGCUGGUUGGUAAGGUAACGGCUUACCAAGGCAACGAGGCAUAGCCGAGCUGAGUGGGUGAUCGGCCACACUGGAACUGAGACACGCUCCAGACUCCUACGGGAGGCAGCAGUAGGGAAUCUUCCGCAAUGGUCGAAAGCCUGACGGAGCAACGCCGCGUGAGUGAUGAAGGUCUUCGGAUCGUAAAACUCUGUUAUUAGGGAAGAACAUAUGUGUAAUUAACUGUGCACAUCUUGACGGUACCUAAUCAGAAAGCCACGGCUAACUACGUG